rnacentral:rRNA from 1 species
UACGUAGGGGGCAAGCGUUGUCCGGAAUCAUUGGGCGUAAAGAGCGUGUAGGCGGCCCGAUAAGUCCGCUGUGAAAGUCCAGGGCUCCAACCCUGGAAUGCCGGUGGAUACGUGUCGGCUCGAAUCCGGAAGAGGUGAGUGGAAUUCCUGGUGUAGCGGUGAAAUGCGCAGAUAUCAGGAGGAACACCAAUGGCGAAGGCAGCUCGCUGGGACGUGACUGACGCUGAGACGCGAAAGCGUGGGGAGCAAACGGG